CGCCACGCCCGCUACAGAAACUACGAAAGGAAUUGGACCGGGGGCCCGCACAAGCGGUGGAGCAUGUGGUUUAAUUCGAUGAUACGCGAGGAACCUUACCGUGGGCUCGAACGUAAGAUGACUGUAGGUGAAAGCUUUACAUCUCUUCGGAGCAUUUUACGAGGUGCUGCAUGGUUGUCGUCAGCUCGUGCCGUGAGGUGUCGGGUUAAGUCCCAUAACGAGCGCAACCCCUACCUUUAGUUGCCAUCAGGUAAUGCUGGGGACUCUAAAGGAACUGCCUACGCAAGUAGUGAGGAAGGCGGGGAUGACGUCAAAUCAGCACGGCCCUUACGUCCAGGGCUACACACGUGCUACAAUGGCCGAUACAGAGGGCAGCUACCUGGUGACAGGAUGCAAAUCUCCAAAGUCGGUCUCAGUUCGGAUCGGAGUCUGCAACCCGACUCCGUGAAGUUGGAUUCGCUAGUAAUCGCGCAUCAGCCAUGGCGCGGUGAAUACGUUCCCGGGCCUU
rnacentral:rRNA from 1 species